AACGGGCGAGGGGAAGCGGCAAUAGCUCAAAAUUUUGAAAAUCCGGCCCCCGUCGGCCCGGAGUGUAAUUUGUAGAGAGUGUUUCGGGUGAGACCCACGGUUUUAAGUCCAUUGGAACAGGGCGUCAUAGAGGGUGAGAAUCCCGUAUGUGANCUGUGGCUCGAACCCAUGUGAAGCCUCUUCGACGAGUCGAGUUGUUUGGGAAUGCAGCUCAAAAUGGGUGGUAAAUUUCAUCUAAAGCUAAAUACUGGCUGGAGACCGAUAGCGCACAAGUAGAGUGAUCGAAAGAUGAAAAGCACUUUGGAAAGAGAGUCAAACAGUACGUGAAAUUGUUGAAAGGGAAGCGCUUGCAACCAGACCUGUGCGUAGGUGAUCAGCCGCUGUUCUCAGUGGUGCACUCGCUCUGCGAUCAGGCCAGCAUCGGUUUCGGCGGUCGGAUAAAGGCCUUGGGAAUGUAGCUUCCCUUCGGGGGAGUCUUAUAGCCCUCGGUGCAAUGCGGCCAGCCGGGACCGAGGACCGCGCUUCGGCUAGGAUGCUGGCGUAAUGGUUGUAAGCGACCCGUCUUGAAACACGGACCAAGGAGUCUAACAUCUAUGCGAGUGUUUGGGUGUCAAACCCAUGCGCGGAAUGAAAGUGAACGGAGGUGAGAACCCUUAAGGGCGCAUCAUCGACCGAUCCAGAUGUCUUCGGAUGGAUUUGAGUAUGAGCAUAAAUGUUGGGACCCGAAAGAUGGUGAACUAUGCCUGAAUACGGGUGAAUGUCCACGAGGAAAUCUUUGCGUGGAG
rnacentral:rRNA from 1 species